ACGAACGCUGGCGGCGUGCUUAACGCAUGCAAGUCGCACGGGCCCGCUCUCUUUUUUGGGGGUGGGUUGAGUGGCGAACGGGUGAGUAUCACGUGAGUAACCUGCCCCCUGCUCCUGGAUAACUGCUUGAAAGGGCGGCUAAUACGGGGUGUGCCGGCUGGUCCGCAUGGGCCUGGUCGGGAUAGUUUCAUCUUCGGGUGUUUCGGUGGGGGAUGGGCUCGCGGCCUAUCAGCUUGUUGGUGGGGUGAUGGCCCACCAAGGCGGUGACGGGUAGCCGGCCUGAGAGGGUGGGCGGCCACACUGGGACUGAGACACGGCCCAGACUCCUGCGGGAGGCAGCAGUGGGGGGUAUUGCACAAUGGGCGGAGGCCUGAUGCAGCGACGUCGCGUGAGGGAUGGAGGCCUUCGGGUUGUGAACCUCUUUCUCCGGUGGUGAAGGCCCUGUCCGUUGCGGCGGGGUUGACGGUAGCCGGGUAUGAAGCGCCGGCUAACUACGUG
rnacentral:rRNA from 1 species